rnacentral:rRNA from 1 species
GACAGAGGUGCCGAGCGUUAGGCGGAAUCACUGGGCUUAAAGCGUGUGUAGGCGGGCGAUCAAGUACCUUGUGAAAUCCCACGGCUCAACCGUGGAACCGCUGGGUAUACUGGUUGUCUUGAGCCGGCUAGGGGCGAGCGGAACAGACGGUGGAGCGGUGAAAUGCGUAGAUAUCGUCCGGAACGCCGAAGGUGAAAACAGCUCGCUGGGGCCGCGCUGACGCUGAGACACGAAAGCCAGGGGAGCGAACGGG